AGUGAACGCUGGCGGUAGGCCUAACACAUGCAAGUCGAACGGCAGCACAGGAGAGCUUGCUCUCUGGGUGGCGAGUGGCGGACGGGUGAGGAAUACAUCGGAAUCUACUCUGUCGUGGGGGAUAACGUAGGGAAACUUACGCUAAUACCGCAUACGACCUACGGGUGAAAGCAGGGGACCUUCGGGCCUUGCGCGAUUGAAUGAGCCGAAGUUGGAUUAGCUAGUUGGUGGGGUAACGGCCUACCAAGGCGACGAUCCGUAGCUGGUCUGAGAGGACGACCAGCAACACUGGGACUGAGACACGGCCCAGACUCCUACGGGGGGCAGCAGUGGGGAAUAUUGGACAAUGGGGGAAACCCUGAUCCAGCGAGGGCGCGUGUGUGAAGAAGGCCUGCGGGUUGUAAAGCACUUUUAGUGGGGACGAAAAGCGCAGGGUUAGCACCCUUGCGUCUUGACCUAACCCAAAGAAAAAGCACCGGCUAACUCUGUGCCAGCCGCCGCAGUAA
rnacentral:rRNA from 1 species